rnacentral:rRNA from 1 species
GAAUUUUCCGCAAUGGGCGAAAGCCUGACGGAGCAACGCCGCGUGAGGGAUGAAGGCCUUCGGGUUGUAAACCUCUUUCAGUAGGGAAGAAGCGGAAGUGACGGUACCUGCAGAAGAAGCGCCGGCUAACUACGUGCCAGCAGCCGCGGUAAUACGUAGGGCGCAAGCGUUAUCCGGAAUUAUUGGGCGUAAAGAGCUCGUAGGCGGUUUGUCGCGUCUGCCGUGAAAGUCCGGGGCUUAACUCCGGAUCUGCGGUGGGUACGGGCAGACUUGAGUGAUGUAGGGGAGACUGGAAUUCCUGGUGUAGCGGUGAAAUGCGCAGAUAUCAGGAGGAACACCGAUGGCGAAGGCAGGUCUCUGGGCAUUAACUGACGCUGAGGAGCGAAAGCAUGGGGAGCGAACAGG